rnacentral:rRNA from 1 species
GAUGAACGCUAGCGAUAGGCCUAACACAUGCAAGUCGAGGGGCAUCACAUGAAGUAGCAAUACGGAUGGUGGCGACCGGCGCACGGGUGAGUAACACGUAUGCAACCUGCCUUCAACAAGGGGAUAACCCGUUGAAAGACGGACUAAUACCCUAUAACACAGGGGUCCCGCAUGGGAAUAUUUGUUAAAGGACAACCGGUUGAAGAUGGGCAUGCGUUCCAUUAGCUAGUUGGCGGGGUAACGGCCCACCAAGGCAACGAUGGAUAGGGGAACUGAGAGGUUUAUCCCCCACACUGGUACUGAGACACGGACCAGACUCCUACGGGAGGCAGCAGUGAGGAAUAUUGGUCAAUGGACGCAAGUCUGAACCAGCCACGUCGCGUGAAGGAAGACGGCCCUACGGGUUGUAAACUUCUUUUGCAAGGGAAUAAAGUGGGCCACGUGUGGCCUUUUGCAAGUACCUUGCGAAUAAGGAUCGGCUAACUCCGUGCCAGCAGCCGCGGU